AUAGAAGAAAGAAAUUAAAUUAUUUUCUUCUUUAGUUUUAUUUAUUAUAUCAUUUUUACCCUAUUUUAGUUUUUAUACCCUUUUGUUUAUCCUUUGGAAAUAUCCGCUACAUUCUAUUUGGUAUGUUAAAUUUAAAUUUGCAAUUUAUUCAGGUAGUAAUUAGACAUAUGUUACUAUGAGGCAUAUGUGGUUAUCAUUGGACCAUAGAUUUUGAACUAUAAAAGACUUUAUAAGUUAAAGAUUUAUGUCCCCAACCCCAAUUUAGAGAUAAAGAAACUGAGACCAGAUAAAGUAAAUCUUUUGGCUGAAGUUACUCUGCUAGUAAGGGUCUGAGGCAGGAUUUGAACCCAGGUCUUACCAACUCCUACUCUAGUACAAAAUGGUGACUAUCACUACUUAGUUGUUAUUUGUUAAUUAAAUGGUUUUCAAUAUGGUACAAAUAAAGCCACAAGCAUCUGAACUCUGAUGAUUCUAGCAUCCUAGACAUCAUGCCUAGAAGGGAUGUUGAGCCAAAUUCCUCAUUCUGCAAGAGGACAUUGAAGGGAAGUGGUAGCUGAGACUGAAGCUAUGAUCUCUUCAUUCCCUGCCUAAGGCUCAAACCAAGACUCACCAGUCUUUUAGCCUGCAAGAUCUUUGAUGUGAAGCUGAUGGAAAAACCGAUAAGUGGAAUAUGAGGCAAUAUCCAACAAAUGGAAACAUGUCCUGGAGAGUUUCCACCUCCCUGCUUUAGUGAAUUGUUGGGUUGGUACAUAGAGGAGGGAGGAACCUCCACAAACAAUUCUCAAGACAAAGGCAGGAAGGCUGUAGUAAUUACUGAACACCAGAAACCAGAGAAUUGUCAAGUCCUCGAGAUGCAAGGAUGUCCUCAGAUGUCCCCUGGUCCAGCCGCCUCUGCAGUACUGAUGUCUUGGGCAACGCUCCAUCCAGUGGCCAUGUCAGCUCUGCUCGAAUGAUCCGAGAGCCCAUUUUAUUGUUGGGUCUGGUAAAGCCUCCAGAGUCUGAGGAAGAACAGAUCUAUGAAAAAGCCUAUUUUGGUGGCUGAAAUGUCAGGCGUUUCCCG
rnacentral:lncRNA from 1 species